ACACUGACUCUAACACUCACAUUCACAAACUUUCUCACUCAAGUCUUACACUCACGGCAAGAACCGUUGGGCGGUCACGUGGCCACUCGUUGAGUGGGGAGGAGAGAUAGGGGCGUGGCCAUAGCCGUGGAGGUGAGUGACGUCACUGCACACGUGACUUCCGUGUAGUGAGACGUGCAGAGAAGGUAGCAGCAGUAGCAGCACAAGUUGCCGAGCUCUUGCGAUUCUUUACGGGGAGUCGAGACGAGGAGGAGGGGGCACGAUGGCCAAGGCUGAAGAGAAGGUGGGCUCCAGGAGCGACGUGCAAUGGAGUGCGCUGCCCACAUCGGACGGCGUUGCCAUCGCCAGUAGUAAAACCCCACGAGAAAUCUUGAAGCUCUUUGGGGAUUUCCUGACCCCCACCGAGAGAAGCGAGGUCCUCACCGUGAAUAACGUCUGGUAUUUCGGCAUCCAUAA